rnacentral:sRNA from 1 species
UUUUUCUGACUGCAAUAGCUGCGCCUGAGCGCCAUUCAACUGCUCUAACGUGGAUUGCAGCUCCAG